rnacentral:tRNA from 1 species
CGGGGUGUGGCUCAGUUGGUAGAGCGCUCGCUUCGGGUGCGAGAGGUCGGCGGUUCGAAUCCGCCCACCCCGACCA